AAAGGCCGAACCUGGCCAGCAGAACGACCCGUGAACAUGUUAUUCUUGUACGGGGUUGGGUGCCGGCGUAGCUCCCUGAGGGGGGCUCGUCCCGCCCAUCUCCCGAGCCGAGGGAUAGCCCCCUUGCGGGGCGCUCCUAAAGCAAACCAACGAACCCCGGCGCGAAAAGCGCCAAGGAAUAUAAACUCAAGUGUGCACUCCCCGUGCCCGGUAAUCCGGUGCAUGGGCGUGCCGCCAUGUAUGUAACAAUAAACGACUCUCGGCAACGGAUAUCUCGGCUCUCGCAUCGAUGAAGAACGUAGCGAAAUGCGAUACUUGGUGUGAAUUGCAGAAUCCCGUGAACCAUCGAGUUUUUGAACGCAAGUUGCGCCCGAAGCUUCGGCUGAGGGCACGUCUGCCUGGGCGUCACGCAUCGCGUCUCCCCCACCCACCUUGUGUGGGGUGGGGAAGGAAGAUGGUCUCCCGAGCCUUACCCGGCGCGGUUGGCCUAAAUAAGGAGCCCACGUCAUUGAGUUGUCGCGGCAAUUGGUGGAUUCCUCUCUAAUGUCGCAGCGCUCCUUACCGGUGGUAGCUCGAAGGACCCUUGUGUGUGUUGCAAAAAUAAUUUUGGCAACCAUCACCGUUGCGACCCCAGGUCAGGCGGGGCUACCCGCUGAGUUUAAGCAUAUC
rnacentral:rRNA from 1 species